rnacentral:rRNA from 1 species
CGCACGGGUGAGUAACACGUAUCCAACCUGCCGUCUACUCUUGGGCAGCCUUCUGAAAGGAAGAUUAAUACAAGAUGGCAUCAUGAGUCCGCAUGUUCACAUGAUUAAAGGUAUUCCGGUAGACGAUGGGGAUGCGUUCCAUUAGAUAGUAGGCGGGGUAACGGCCCACCUAGUCUUCGAUGGAUAGGGGUUCUGAGAGGAAGGUCCCCCACAUUGGAACUGAGACACGGUCCAA